UGUCCAACUCCAGCUUUCGGCGUGCACCGCUGGCUCGCGACGCUGCAGAGGCAGUACGAGUACCUCGCUGUUCUGCACUCCAGCUAGGUCCCAAGAGGCGACAACGACAACAACACAGGGAGGCGUGAGGUGUUUCGUUUGGGUCCAAGAUCACAAGACUAAUGUGACAAACUUGUGUGUGUUGCACACUCUACUUCUAGCAAAUGGAAACAGCUGUUCUUGCUUGUAGAACUAGAGAAGGGGAGGAACUGCAGCGUCAAUAUACAGUUGCUGGAACUAAUGACAGACUAGCAGAGCUGGAGUGUGACCAUUUCUCCCUAAGAUGAACGCAGAGCUGUGGGUGCAGUCACCACGUCUGCUCAAACGCAAAAUCAACUUUCUGAGGUAUAACAAGCGGGUGGCGGAGGGGCAAUGGGCUGUGAUGGACGUGUCUGUCGAUGGCAUCCUUGGACGCCGCACCACUGAUGCCGCCGUCGUUGCAAACAACACAACAGGCUGCAGGCUGCUGCCGUCCGACUGUCUCAUUGAAGACAUGGGCAAGGGC